GAUGUUGAACGUGAAGGAUAACGUUGCGUCAGCAACGGCCCGUAGGGCGAGGCGAAGCCGAGUCAUCCUGCACGACCCACCA
rnacentral:sRNA from 10 species